CCUACGGGUGGCAGCAGUGAGGAAUAUUGGUCAAUGGACGAGAGUCUGAACCAGCCAAGUAGCGUGAAGGAUGACUGCCCUAUGGGUUGUAAACUUCUUUUAUAUGGGAAUAAAAUGUUCCACGUGUGGGAUUUUGUAUGUACCAUAUGAAUAAGGAUCGGCUAACUCCGUGCCAGCAGCCGCGGUAAUACGGAGGAUCCGAGCGUUAUCCGGAUUUAUUGGGUUUAAAGGGAGCGUAGUUGGAUUGUUAAGUCAGUUGUGAAAGUUUGCGGCUCAACCGUAAAAUUGCAGUUGAAACUGGCAGUCUUGAGUGGGCGAGAAGUAUGCGGAAUGCGUGGUGUAGCGGUGAAAUGCAUAGAUAUCACGCAGAACUCCGAUUGCGAAGGCAGCAUACCGGCGCCCUACUGACGCUGAGGCACGAAAGCGUGGGUAUCGAACAGGAUUAGAUACCCUUGUAGUC
rnacentral:rRNA from 1 species